AUUGAACGCUGGCGGCAGGCCUAACACAUGCAAGUCGAACGAGUGGCGGACGGGUGAGUAAUGUCUGGGAAACUGCCUGAUGGAGGGGGAUAACUACUGGAAACGGUAGCUAAUAACGCAUACCAUCGGAUGUGCCCAGAUGGGAUUAGUUAGUAGGUGGGGUAACGGCUCACCUAGGCGACGAUCCCUAGCUGGUCUGAGAGGAUGACCAGCCACUCGGGAACUGAGACACGGUCCAGACGCCUACGGGAGGCAGAAGGGGGGAAUAUUGCACAAUGGGCGCAAGCCUGAUGCAGCCAUGCCGCGUGGAUGAAGAAGGCCUUCGGGUUUUAAAGUACUUUCAGCGGGGAGGCGUUACCCGCAGAGGAAGCACCGGCUAACUCCGUGCCAGCAGCCGCGGUAAUAC
rnacentral:rRNA from 1 species